rnacentral:snRNA from 1 species
GUGCUCGCUUUGGCAGCACAUAUACUAAAAUUGAAACAAUACAGAGAAGAUUAGCAUGGCCCCUGCACAAGGAUGACAUGCAAAUUCAUUCCAUAUUUUU